CUUCUACAAUCUCUCUGUCGACAAUGAGCGACGAUCUCGUCUUUCAUCGCCGACGAUCUCUCACGAUGAUUUCGUCUUCUACGUCGUGUUCUUGUCUCUCAUUGCCGUGUUCUCGUUUCUUUCGUCGUGUUCUCGUGUCUCUUCGCCGUGUUUUCGUCUCUCUUGGCCGUGUUCUGUUUGCUGGGUAGAUCUGUUUCGGAUCUCGAUUUCAAUAUACAAUCGAUUCUUGUUGCUUUGCUCGUGAGGAUUUCUCUGAUUGUUGCCCCGACUUCGUCGAUUAAUGCUUCUUCUUAUAUCCCUUUUUAAUCUCUACAGCUUCAUAUCAGUUUUUCCUUCCUUCGUGUUGUUUGUUGUACUUAUGGUUUAUGCUGGAUUUUUAGGUUGAACUCGUAUGUACUUUGAAAUUUACCAAGAUAGGACUAAUAUUUCUUUGGCUUUCGAUGCUUCAUCCGUAGAAACCAAACUAGAAUAUCAUAUUGGAAAACACAAUCGUUCUUAUUAAUUAGUUUUACAAAGGUGUACGUUUGUAGCUCAAGAGAAAAUUGUAGGAUAUUUGGCUAAUUCAACAACGGGGAUUGUUUUGAUGAUGAUAACCACGGUUAGAGAUUGAUACUUAAGGUUUGGUCUCAUGAUUUGAUUAGUUGUAAUGUUUAUAGCUCGUAAAGAGUGACAUUUUUUUUUGUGUGUGUUGUCUCUGUUUGGAUUGUCUUUGUACACAGAAGAAGAGAAGAUGUAAAUGUAUAGUGAUUGGUGUGUCUUUGUUGGAGCACCUGAGACUAUAGACAAUAGAGGAGCGAUGCCCAAUAUUCACAAUCUCUUUCACCCCCAAGAGAUCUUCACUUGCAUUGAGUUGCUCUUGUUGAAGGUGGGACAUACAACGUGCAACACAGUUAGGACCUCAUGCUUAUGUGGAUUUAGUGUGAAAGGAUCAAACAAUGUGAAACACCGCUCGAACGUUUCAGAAUUGGCAAGAAUCGUGGCUGGUUUUAUAUUGCAGGAGAGCUUAGAUUGUAUAUGACAUGUUACUUUGUUUAACUUUCCUGCAAUUCUUAUUUAUAUUUUUGAUUAUGUAAGUAGUACAUCAGAUAUAGAAUAUUAAGGAUUCAUAAUAUAUCUUAAAAAGUUGCAUUGUUUUGUCAAGGAAAA